GUGAGAAUCACAGUGCAGUUCUCUGGCAUGGAUGCCAAUGUUAGCAGGCGUUGGACUACGUAGAUUGCUAUUGUCAUCCCUGCCAAAGGAGAAUUGCCCUGCCAUUCAGCA
rnacentral:pre_miRNA from 1 species